GAUGAACGCUGGCGGCGUGCUUAACACAUGCAAGUCGAACGGUGAAGCAGGAGCUUGCUCCUGUGGAUCAGUGGCGAACGGGUGAGUAACACGUGAGCAAUCUGCCCUGGACUCUGGGAUAAGCGUUGGAAACGACGUCUAAUACCGGAUACGAGGCGUGGGGGCAUCCCCAACGCCUGGAAAGAACUUCGGUCCAGGAUGAGCUCGCGGCCUAUCAGGUAGUUGGUGAGGUAACGGCUCACCAAGCCUACGACGGGUAGCCGGCCUGAGAGGGUGACCGGCCACACUGGGACUGAGACACGGCCCAGACUCCUACGGGAGGCAGCAGUGGAGAAUAUUGCACAAUGGGCGCAAGCCUGAUGCAGCAACGCCGCGUGAGGGACGACGGCCUUCGGGUUGUAAACCUCUUUUAGCAGGGAAGAAGCGAAAGUGACGGUACCUGCAGAAAAAGCACCGGCCAACUACGUGCCAGCCGCCGCCGUAAUAC
rnacentral:rRNA from 1 species